GUAGGGUGCGAGCGUUAAUCGGGAAUUACUGGGCGUAAAGCGUGCGCAGGCGGUUCGCUAAGACCGAUGUGAAAUCCCCGGGGCUUAACCUGGGGAACUGCAUUGGUGACUGGCGGGCUAGAGUAUGGCAGAGGGGGGUAGAAUUCCACGUGUAGCAGUGAAAUGCGUAGAGAUGUGGAGGAAUACCGAUGGCGAAGGCAGCCCCCUGGGCCAAUACUGACGCUCAUGCACGAAGGCGUGGGGAGCAAACAGGAUUAGAUACCCUGGUAGUCCACGCCCUAAACGAUGUCAACUAGUUGUCGGGUCUUCAUUGACUUGGUAACGUAGCUAACGCGUGAAGUUGACCGCCUGGGGAGUACGGUCGCAAAGAUUAA
rnacentral:rRNA from 1 species